UACGGGGGGGGGCAAGCGUUGUUCGGAAUUACUGGGCGUAAAGGGCUCGUAGGUGGCCAACUAAGUCAGACGUGAAAUCCCUCGGCUUAACCGGGGAACUGCGUCUGAUACUGGAUGGCUUGAAUCCGGGAGAGGGAUGCGGAAUUCCAGGUGUAGCGGUGAAAUGCGUAGAUAUCAGGAGGAACACCAAUUGCGAAGGCAGCUCGCUGGGACGUAACUGACGCUGAGACGCGAAAGCGUGGGGAGCAAACAGG
rnacentral:rRNA from 1 species